GGGGGGUGCUCCGGGGGCGCAGGCGGCGGCCACCCCUGUCCCGUCGUAGCUGCGGCGAGGCGCGGGUUGCACAAAUGGCAGUGCCUUCCAGAAACAAGACUCGGAUGAAACUCUUCUUCUGGAAUUUAGCUGAAGAAAAACACCUUAGAACACUCGACCUUUUGCUUCACUUUUUUUUUUUUUCCUAAGUUUCCAAAGAAAUGCAAGCUUCCCUUCUUCUCUAGGAAGAGGUAGCCAUUGCUCUUCUUUACACUAGACAUUUCUAAUUUGUUCCGUCUGUCAAAAUGGGACUAUGAGAGGGUUUUGGUGCAAAUUCAUUAUCUCUGGCAACAUACAACCUAUAAUAGGAACUGAAAAAGACCGUGGCAAUGGAUGAACAAUAGGGCUUCAGUUCAUCAGCAACAAAAGCGUUGGGGAAAUUGCUUGAAUUUCAGAGCACGUCCUCCUCAGCAGAGAGGGCUGGACUAGACCUUGGCCAACUCCCCCAAAAAACUUGCAGAGCCUCACAUACAACAGUUCACUUUCUACUCCGGGGCAUAGGAAGCAUUGCAGAAAAAAAGAAAAAAUAUAAGGCAAACCCAAGCCAACUUUCUGUGUUUCUCUCCCAUUUUUCUGGAUGGAACAUUUCUAACUCUUUUAGAGUCCUUGGAACAAGAAUAAUACUGUGGAGCUAAGCAGCACUUUUAAAUAGGGAUGGCAAGGGGAAAGACGUGAAUUUAUGGAAAAUUGGGAGAGCUUUCUCUGCUCUGAGGGGCCUUGGCCGUGGGGAUCUUUGUUUGUCAUCGUUGGCUCAGCUUUCCCCCUAGAUCUGGGGUCACAUCUUUCCCUGAUAAAGGCGAAGAAAUACCGGGGGCAGCAGCAGCCGGCAAGACCGCGUCUUCUUCUCCCCAGCUCUGGGAGCCCCGAGAAAGCGAGGAUCUUCCCCCUCUAAAAUACACACUGCACGCCAGAUAUUUGCAAUCAAGCUGCCACCAUUUGGCAAAGAGAUCUAUACCGUACAUAAUCUAAAGGGAUCAAGAGACGCAUCCUCGAAUCAUCUUGUUACUUUCUACUAAAUGGAAUUUUUUUCUUCUUCUUGCUCCUUACACUGCGCUGGAAAUUGCCGAUGGCUUUGCAUCUUUAUAGAGGCUAAAGAGUCGUUCGUGAGAACGAAGCGAUUUACAAUGCAAAUAGAGGCCUGUUAAAGGAUGGAUGCUCCUCUCUCUUAACGCAGCUUGAAGCACCUUAAUGACUGGUUUUAUUUUCUGGUAUUAACAGAUGAAUCGUUGGCUAUCCCUGCCGGAAAUUACUGGCUGAAAAAAAAAGUUCGGAAUAAACUUCGAAGGCAACAGAUUUCUCUUGGAUGU
rnacentral:lncRNA from 1 species